rnacentral:rRNA from 1 species
UACGUAGGGUGCGAGCGUUAAUCGGAAUUACUGGGCGUAAAGCGUGCGCAGGCGGCUUUGCGAGACAGAUGUGAAAUCCCCGGGCUCAACCUGGGAAUUGCGCUUGUGACUGCAAAGCUGGAGUGCGGCAGAGGGGGAUGGAAUUCCGCGUGUAGCAGUGAAAUGCGUAGAUAUGCGGAGGAACACCGAUGGCGAAGGCAAUCCCCUGGGCCUGCACUGACGCUCAUGCACGAAAGCGUGGGGAGCAAACAGG